rnacentral:rRNA from 1 species
AGAGCGAACGCUGGCGGCAGGCUUAGCACAUGCAAGUCGAGCGGGCGUAGCAAUACGUCAGCGGCAGACGGGUGAGUAACGCGUGGGAACGUACCUUUUGGUUCGGAACAACCCAGGGAAACUUGGGCUAAAUACCGGAUAAGCCCUUACGGGGAAAGGAUUUAUCGCCGAAAGAUCGGCCCGCGUCUGAUUAGCUAGUUGGUGAGGUAAUGGCUCACCAAGGCGACGAUCAGUAGCUGGUCUGAGAGGAUGAUCAGCCACAUUGGGACUGAGACACGGCCCAAACUCCUACGGGAGGCAGCAGUGGGGAAUAUUGGACAAUGGGCGCAAGCCUGAUCCAGCCAUGCCGCGUGAGUGAUGAAGGCCCUAGGGUUGUAAAGCUCUUUUGUGCGGGAAGAUAAUGACGGUACCGCAAGAAUAACGCCCGGCUAACUUCGUGCCAGCAGCCGC